rnacentral:rRNA from 1 species
AAUGAACGCUGGCGGCAUGCCUAACACAUGCAAGUCGAACGAGACCUUCGGGUCUAGUGGCGCACGGGUGCGUAACGCGUGGGAACCUGCCCUUAGGUUCGGAAUAACUCCCCGAAAGGGGUGCUAAUACCGGAUAAUGUCUUCGGACCAAAGAUUUAUCGCCUUUGGAUGGGCCCGCGUUGGAUUAGCUAGUUGGUAGGGUAAAAGCCUACCAAGGCGACGAUCCAUAGCUGGUCUGAGAGGAUGAUCAGCCACACUGGGACUGAGACACGGCCCAGACUCCUACGGGAGGCAGCAGUGGGGAAUAUUGGACAAUGGGCGAAAGCCUGAUCCAGCAAUGCCGCGUGAGUGAUGAAGGCCUUAGGGUUGUAAAGCUCUUUUACCCGGGAUGAUAAUGACAGUACCGGGAGAAUAAGCGCCGGCUAACUCCGUG